UUAUCGGAGAGUUUGAUCCUGGCUCAGGACGAACGCUGGCGGCGUGCCUAAUACAUGCAAGUCGAGCGGACAGAUGGGAGCUUGCUCCCUGAUGUUAGCGGCGGACGGGUGAGUAACACGUGGGUAACCUGCCUGUAAGACUGGGAUAACUCCGGGAAACCGGGGCUAAUACCGGAUGGUUGUUUGAACCGCAUGGUUCAAACAUAAAAGGUGGCUUCGGCUACCACUUACAGAUGGACCCGCGGCGCAUUAGCUAGUUGGUGAGGUAACGGCUCACCAAGGCGACGAUGCGUAGCCGACCUGAGAGGGUGAUCGAGUACACUGGGACUGAGACACGACCCAGACUCCUACGGGAGGCAGCAGUAGGGAAUCUUCCGCAAUGGACGAAAGUCUGACGGAGCAACGCCGCGUGAGUGAUGAAGGUUUUCGGAUCGUAAAGCUCUGUUGUUAGGGAAGAACAAGUACCGUUCGAAUAGGGCGGUACCUUGACGGUACCUAACCAGAAAGCCACGGCUAACUACGUGCCAGCAGCCGCGGUAAUACGUAGGUGGCAAGCGUUGUCCGGAAUUAUUGGGCGUAAAGGGCUCGCAGGCGGUUUCUUAAGUCUGAUGUGAAAGCCCCCGGCUCAACCGGGGAGGGUCAUUGGAAACUGGGGAACUUGAGUGCAGAAGAGGAGAGUGGAAUUCCACGUGUAGCGGUGAAAUGCGUAGAGAUGUGGAGGAACACCAGUGGCGAAGGCGACUCUCUGGUCUGUAACUGACGCUGAGGAGCGAAAGCGUGGGGAGCGAACAGGAUUAGAUACCCUGGUAGUCCACGCCGUAAACGAUGAGUGCUAAGUGUUAGGGGGUUUCCGCCCCUUAGUGCUGCAGCUAACGCAUUAAGCACUCCGCCUGGGGAGUACGGUCGCAAGACUGAAACUCAAAGGAAUUGACGGGGGCCCGCACAAGCGGUGGAGCAUGUGGUUUAAUUCGAAGCAACGCGAAGAACCUUACCAGGUCUUGACAUCCUCUGACAAUCCUAGAGAUAGGACGUCCCCUUCGGGGGCAGAGUGACAGGUGGUGCAUGGUUGUCGUCAGCUCGUGUCGUGAGAUGUUGGGUUAAGUCCCGCAACGAGCGCAACCCUUGAUCUUAGUUGCCAGCAUUCAGUUGGGCACUCUAAGGUGACUGCCGGUGACAAACCGGAGGAAGGUGGGGAUGACGUCAAAUCAUCAUGCCCCUUAUGACCUGGGCUACACACGUGCUACAAUGGACAGAACAAAGGGCAGCGAAACCGCGAGGUUAAGCCAAUCCCACAAAUCUGUUCUCAGUUCGGAUCGCAGUCUGCAACUCGACUGCGUGAAGCUGGAAUCGCUAGUAAUCGCGGAUCAGCAUGCCGCGGUGAAUACGUUCCCGAGCUUGUACACACCGCCCGUCACACCACGAGAGUUUGUAACACCCGAAGUCGGUGAGGUAACCUUUUAGGAGCCAGCCGCCGAAGGUGGGACAGAUGAUUGGGGUGAAGUCGUAACAAGGUAGCCGUAUCGGAAGGUGCGGCUGGAUCACCUCCUUU
rnacentral:rRNA from 1 species